GGUGGGGUUCCCGAGCGAUCAUAAGGGAGCUGACUGCAAAUCUGCCGUCAUCGACUUCAAGGUUCGACUCGAGCGAAAGCGAGAGAACGUUGCCAACGGCAACGGCCCGUAGGGUGAGGAGCGAAGCGACGAAUAAUCCUUCCCCCACCACCA
rnacentral:tRNA from 1 species